rnacentral:rRNA from 1 species
CGAGCGGAACGAUGGGAGCUUGCUCCCAGGCGUCGAGCGGCGAACGGGUGAGUAACGCGUAGGAAUCUGCCUGAUAGAGGGGGAUAGCUCGGGGAAACUCGAAUUAAUACCGCAUACGCCCUACGGGGGAAAGCAGGGGAUCUUCGGACCUUGCGCUAUCAGAUGAGCCUGCGUCGGAUUAGCUAGUUGGUGGGGUAAAGGCCCACCAAGGCGACGAUCCGUAGCUGGUCUGAGAGGAUGAUCAGCCACACCGGAACUGAGACACGGUCCGGACUCCUACGGGAGGCAGCAGUGGGGAAUAUUGGACAAUGGGGGCAACCCUGAUCCAGCCAUGCCGCGUGUGUGAAGAAGGCCUUCGGGUUGUAAAGCACUUUAAGCAGGGAGGAAAGGGCAACGGUUAAUACCCGUUGCAGUUGACGUUACCUGCAGAAUAAGCACCGGCUAACUUCGUGCCAGCAGCCGCGGUAAUACGAAGGGUGCAAGCGUUAAUCGGAAUUACUGGGCGUAAAGCGCGCGUAGGCGGUUUGGUAAGUGUGAUGUGAAAGCCCAGGGCUCAACCUUGGAACUGCAUCACAUACUGUCAGACUAGAGCACGGGAGAGGGGGGUAGAAUUCCACGUGUAGCGGUGAAAUGCGUAGAGAUGUGGAGGAAUACCGGUGGCGAAGGCGGCCCCCUGGAUCGAUACUGACGCUGAGGUGCGAAAGCGUGGGGAGCAAACAGGAUUAGAUACCCUGGUAGUCCACGCCGUAAACGAUGUCAACUAGCCGUUGGGGACGUAAUGUCUUGAGUGGCGCAGCUAACGCACUAAGUUGACCGCCUGGGGAGUACGGUCGCAAGAUUAAAACUCAAAUGAAUUGACGGGGGCCCGCACAAGCGGUGGAGCAUGUGGUUUAAUUCGACGCAACGCGAAGAACCUUACCUGGUCUUGACAUCCA